UAUAUUUCAUUAGGGAAACACGUAUUAAAUUCAUUAAUUUUCUUUUAAAAUUGAACAAAUAGGUUCUAAAAUUAUUUCUUGAGGUUUAAAAAGAGGUAAUGAGACAUUGUUUCUAUCAAAGCGUUAAGUGUGUCAAUCGCAUUCAAGAUCAUUAGCUGAGUCAGUGAGUCAGGCAUCAAAUAUAUUUCAUUUAAGAAACACGUAUUAAAUUCAUUAAUUUUCUAUUAAGUGAAGUGAGUUUCUAAAAUGAUUUCCAGAGGUUAAAAAGAGAAAAUCUGCUUCAACACGGUGCAAUACCUUAAGAAGAUAGUCAUAUGACAAGAUAAUUUACAAAGUGUACUUUUCGAUUAAACAGAUAAAAAUAAGUGAUUGAAAUAACAUUGCUUAGAGCUUAGUGGACAUUAGUCUAGAAUCUAACAGAAGAAUAAACUAUUGUGUUUUAGUUAAGAGACAAGAAUAGAAGAAGAAUAAGAAGAGGUAUAGUAGAGAAUAGAAGUUAUACAGAAUGUGUUGCUGCUGCGAUUGUGGGAGCUGUGGCAAGAUAUUGAGAUGCCUGCUCUGUGUCACACUGGUGGUGUACCUGCUGAAGCUGUGCGGUGUCGAGGUGGAUGACAACUGCUGCUGUGGCGAUGACAACUAAGCCUUAACUGUCAAGCUAUAAACACCGCGUCCAAGUCAAUGAACGUUCUUCACGACUGCAGGACUUUUUUUUGUUAAGCUUUUUACGUAUUAUAGUAAGUCGGUAUGUGUAAAUAACAUUUUUGUAUUCUGUACCUUGGCAUUUUGGCCACUCAGAUAUCCUCGAGUUGUGUAUGUUAUUGACGUCAUGAUCCAAGAUGGCGCAAAUUUGAAAUUUAACGAAGAUACAAAUAAAUUAUGCCCGGAGUUUAGCAAAAAAAAAAAUAAGAAUAAUACGUUAAUUUGGAUUAAGAAUACUUGCUUAUGAGAAGAAUCAGAA